CGAAGAAGAAAUAUCAGCGGGUGGCAGACAUCUCACUGGAGGCCACAGGAGCUUUGUGAAGCCAGCGGGACACAAUACAUGGAGAGAUGACCAACCAAUCACUGUUCAUGAGGGGAGUGGAACCUCAACCCAGCAUUUUAUCAUGAUAGAGAAAGGCUCCCCUCAGCUAUUCACUUCAGCUAUGUGCCUUAGGGGAACUUGAGAGACUUCCCUACAACAUUAUCCAAUACGCCAUGGUUCCUUGUUUUGUAGAUUGAGAAUUUGCUUGAAAUGUGUGUGUGUGUGUAUAUAUAUAUAUAUAUAUAUAUAAAUAUAAAUAAGUGUGUGUUUCCAAGGUAAUGUACUUACCAUAUGCCGGUUUUCAAUGUAUCUGAUGACCAAGAAGAAGCAUAAAGCCAAAACGUUAAUCAUUAAAUGUUUAGCUAUUUUUUUUUGUACUGGCUGGCAAUGUUCAGUAAAAAAGGUCCAGCGUAAUCUAAUAUAAAGGUUUUUAUCGUCCUGUGAGUCCAACUUGAGCAGGCAUGCUAACAGGGUUGCUGAGUUGUAGUUCAAAUGAGAUUUUAAUAACGUAUUCUUAUUUCUUGAGUGUUAAAUAUUUAGAUAAAAAGGCAUCUUAAUACACAAAUACGAAUAUAAUUGUACCUUCAAAAAGUAUUCACAGCUCUUGACUUUUUCCACAUUUUGUUAUGUUACUGCCUGAAUUGAACACGUAUUCAAUUUAAAUGUUGUCACUGAUCUCCACACAAUACCUCAUAAUGUCAACGUGGAAUUUUGUUUGUAGAACAAUUUAGAAAUGAAUACAAAAUGAAAAUCUGAAAUGUAUUGAGUCACAUUUUCAACCCCUUUGUUAUGGCAAGCCGAAAGUUUAGGACUACAAAUCUGCUUAACAAAUCGCAUAAUAUGUUGCUUGGACUUAUUCUGUGUUCAAUAAGAGGUUAACAUGAUUUUUGAAUAACUAGCCCAUUUCUAUACCCCACACAUACAGAUAAUUGUAAGGUCCCUCAAUCGAGCAGUGAAUUUCAAGCAGAUAUUCAACCACAAAGACCAGGUAGGUUUUUCCAUGCCUCGCAAAGAAGGGCACCUUUGAGCAUGGUGAAGUAAUUAAUUAGGCUAUAGAUGGUGUAUCAAUGCACCCAGUCACUACAAAGAUACAGGCAUCCUUCCUAACUCAGUUGCCGGAGAGGAAUGAAAUUACUUAGGGAUUUCACCAUCAGGCCAAUGGUGAUUUUAAAACUGUUACAGAGUUUAAUGGCUGUGAUAGGAGAAAUCUGGGGAUGGAUCAACAUCAUUGUAGUUAGUCCACAAUACUAACGUAAAUGACUGAGUGAAAAUAAGAAAGCCUAUACAGAAUAAAAAUAACAAAAACAUGCAUCCUGUUUGCAAUAAGGCACUUCGGAAAGUAUUCAGACCUUGACCUUUUCCACAUUUUGUUAGGUUACAGCCUUAUUCUAAAAUUGAUUAAAUUGUUUUUCCCCCCUCAGUCUACACACAAUACCCCAUAAUGACAAAGCAAAAACAGACAUUUUUGCUCAUUUAUAAAAUUUCAACUGAUAUGUAAAUGUGUUAAGUAUUCAGACCCUUUUCUCAGUACUUUGUUGAAGCACCUUUGGCAGCGAUGACAGCUGUGAGUCUUCUCGUGUAUGACGCUACAAGCUUGGCACACCUGUAUUUGAGGAGUUUCUCCCAUUCCUCUCUUUAGAUCCUCUCAAGCUCUGUCAGGUUGGAUGGGAACAUUGCUGCACAGCUAUUUUCAGGUCUCUCCAGAGAUAUUCGAACGGGUUCUGGCUGGGCCACUCAAGGAUAUUGAGACUUGUCCCGAAGCUACUCCUGUUUUGUCUUGGCUGUGUGCUUAGGGUUGUUGUCAUGUUGGUAGGUAAACCUUCGCCCUAGUCGGAGGUCCUAAGCACUCUGGAGCAGGUUUUCAUCAAGGAUCUCUCUGUACUUUGCUCCGUUCAUCUUUCCCUAGAUCCUAACUGGUCUCCCAGUCCCUGCCGCUGAAAAACAUCCCCACAGCAAGAUGCUGCCAUCACCAUGCUUCACCAUAAGGAUGGUGCCAGGUUUCCUCUCGAAGUGACGCUUGGCAUUCAGGCCAACAAGUUUAAUCUUGGUUUCAUCUGACCAGAGAAUCUUGUUUCUCAUGGUCUGAGAGUCGUUAGGUGCCUUUUGUCAAACCCCAAGUGGGCCUCCCUGACCAAGGCCCUUCUCCUCCAAUUGCUCAGUUUUGCCCAGGCGGCCAACUCUUGGUGGUUCCAAACUUCUUCCAUUUAAGAAUGAUCGGGCCACUGUGUUCUUGGGGACCUUCAAUGCUGCAGAAAUGUUUUGGUACCCUUCCCCAGAUCUGUGCCUCGACACAAUCCUGUCUCCGAGCUCUACGGACAAUUCCUUCAACUUCAUUGCUUGAUGUUUGCUCUGACAUGCACUGUCAACUGUGGGACCUUAUAUAGACAGGUGUGUGCCUUUCCAAAUCAUGUACAAUCAAUUGUAUUUACUACAGGUGCACUCCAAUCAAGUUAUAGAAACAUCAAGGAUGAUCAUUGGAAACAGGAUGCACCUGAACUCAAUUUCGAGUCUCAAAGCAACAAGUCUGAAUACGUAUGUAAAUAUGGUAUCUAUAAAAACCUGUUCUCACUUUGUCAUUAUAGGGUAUUGUGUGUAGAUUGAUGAAAAAUGAUUUUUUUUUUUAAAAUACGGCUGUAAUGUAACGAAAUGUGGAAAAAGUGAAGGGGUCGAAAUACUUUCCGAAGGCACUGUAAAUAUGCAAAAAAAUGUGGCAAAGAAAUUAAAGCUUUCAAUUCAGGACAUAAAGUUAUGUUUGGGGCAAACCCUACACAUCACUGAGUGCCGUUCAUAUUUUCAAGCAUGGUGGUGGCUGCAUCAUGUUUUGGGUAUGCUUGUCAUCGGCAAAGACUAGGGAGUUUUUUAGGAUAAAAGGUAACGGUAUAGAGCUAAGCACAGGCAAAAACCUAGCGAAAAAUCUGUUUCAGUCUGCAUUCCAACAGACAAUGGGAGACAAAUUCAGCUUUCAGCAGGACAAUAACCUAAAACACAAACCAAUAUACAUUGGAGUUGCUUAGCAAGAUGACAUUGAAUGUUCCUAAGUGGCCGAGUUACUGUUUUGACUUAAAUUGGCUUGAAAAUCUAUGGCAAGAAUUGAAAAUGGCUGUCUAGAAAGGAUCAACAACCAACUGGACAGCUUGAAGAAUUUAAAAAAGAAUAAUGUGCAAAUAUUGUACAAUCAAUCCAGGUGUGCAAAGCUCUAAUAGACUUACCCAGAAAGACUCACAGCUGUAACAGCUGACAAAGGUGAUUCUAACAUGUAUUGUUUCAUGGGUGUGAAUACUUUUGUAUAUGAGAUUUCUGUAUUUCAUUUUCAAUAAAUUUGCUAACAUUUAAAAAAAUAUGUUUUCACUUUGUCAUUAUGGAGUAUUGUGUUUUCAGUGGCUUGCAAAAGUAUUGACCUCCCUUGGCAUUUUUCCUAUUUUGUUUCCUUACAACCUGGAAUUAAAGUGGAUUUUGGGGGGGGUUGUAU